CACUUCAGGAUGUACCACCCA
rnacentral:miRNA from 14 species